rnacentral:lncRNA from 1 species
UACCAUAUUAUGUGUUUGAACCCAUCUCAUAGCUUGGUAUUGCUUCCGGGUUAGCCCACCCGAACGGUAUGGCGAAGCCGACAAUGGAUGGCACCGUGCUGAUGAGUAGGCAGUGCAACCCAUCGCUUUGAAAUUUGUGUAUUUGGCAGUGAAAGGUUGAUAUUUAUAGUCGGCUUUGUAUUUGCCAUCUUCGGUUGCCCAAGAAGAAGCGUCCCAUAUGGAGCCAUAAAGCCACAUUGGUCUUAGAGGAAAUGUAGCCGCACUCUUCUUUGGGUAUCUUCUUAUGGGAAUAUCAUCCACCAAAAAACUGAAAUUACAAGUGAAGAAAAUAACAAUAUUAGUUUGAAUAUUGAUAUAGUUUACUAAAUAAGGAAUAUAUAUGCCCAGAUAAAACUAUGUACAUGUAUGUUUUAUUUUAUGCAGUAACAUUCGAAAUAGAAAAUGUGAGAUCUAAUUAUAAAAUAUUUUCUAAAUAUUAAAUGCUUAGAAUGGUAGGUAGAUUCUGUAUGUCCCAUUCAUGUGGUCGCACCUCAUAGGCGUAAAGGACUCAUAAUUGGUUAAAAGAACUAAAAAAAUUAGUAAAGCUGGCACUUUGGUUGUGCCUAGAAACGAAUAACAUGAGAAAAUCAUUAGUUAACUAUAAACAACAAAAAAAUCAAGUAUAAGUGUCCACCGUCGUACGGUCGUUGUCUCUAAUCGUAUCUCUCCUUGCACGAAUAAUAUAAUCCUACGGAAGAUCUUCUCCAAUUAUAAAAUGGAAAUUUAAAUGUUUUUUGUUAUAUGGCUCUAGAUACAUCUACCUAGAUCCGCAGCCAAAAACUAAAUUUACCGUAUUCUCUCAUCAGAACACGAAUCUUUUAUAACUACACUAGUUAUUAAGGGGUUAGAUUCAACAAAAAAAAAAUCAAAAACUUUAUUUGUGUAUAAGAUAAUUAAGUAGAAGAAAGCUUACAUGAUUUCUCUAGGGCUCCAAAGAAUAGCAUAAUGGUGAAAACCCGAAGUGGGAUCAAACCACAAGCGAAACUUCAUCUCACGACCAAUGAUUUUGCCAUCACCACUUCCUCUAAUGUACACAUUUGUUUGAAGUGUGUAAGGCUUCCCAAAUGUUGUUCCCAAAAAUUCUAUGUCUACUUCAUCAUGGAAUCCUGGAUGUGCUUCACUAUUU